rnacentral:rRNA from 3 species
UCCGGUUAUUUUAGCGUUGUGGCACCACUCCUUUCCAUUCCGAAUAGGCAAGUGAAACACAUCCGCGCCCACGAUACUUACCUGGCAACGGGUUGGGACAAUAGGUCGUAGCCGGAA